AUGAGGGUGACCUAGAAAGGCCAGGACGGAAGAGGGGAGCAGAUUGACUGCCUAUGAGGGAGGUCCAGACUUACGUCAGCACCCUGUGGCACCUCACAGAAGCAGUCCCAUUGGUCAGAGAGCUUUCCUCCUCAGCACCAACGCUUCCCAUACCCUGGAGCUGAGGUCACGUGUUCCCAGCCCGAUGUUGGUCAUUCAUCACCAGCACUGUUUACACGCGUACUCAGAUGCCCGACUGUAGCGAAAAUAACUUCUGCUUCUUACCAGCUGAGCCCUCCGUGAAGGACCCGCUCGAGGCUCUACAUCAGGACACAGAUGCCCAUGCUCAGUUCCGGAAGCAGAACUGUCUCACAUUUGGCAUCCAUCAGAAAAAAAGGUUUGCUGUCACGUGCUCAGUGUGAGCACCAGCGAGGACCAACAGACAAAGGCGACGCCAGGCCAUCCCACGGCAGGGACGGAGCAGAGAAAGGCAGGCACCAGGGACCAUGGCUGCAAGGGCUCUCCAUGGACUCGCUUCUGGGCUUCUAGCUUCUCUCGGGUCUCUGUAGGCUCUCUACAUGGUGUUGAGGUGAGGCACAUGAGGAAGGCUCAUUCCUGCCCUGGGAGUGCUCAGGAUGUGGUGAAGGAGCAGAGGAGACUGAGUAAAACGAUCUCCAGAGAGCGAGAAGAGGAUUCUCUGACACUAGGCAGCCAUUUUCUCUGGGUUGGUCAUGACGCUUUCCAUCUUGAUCCAGAGAGUCUGUGAUCACCUUCAGGAGAUUAGACCUAGCAGGUAAGUAUUCCUUACGUGUGUGGAUACACAUACUUGUGGAAGCCAAGAGCCAAGCUUGGAUGUCAUCCCUCAGGUGCUGUCCUCCCUGUUCAUUGAGACAGGGCCUCUCCC